rnacentral:rRNA from 1 species
UGGGGAAUCUUGCACAAUGGGCGAAAGCCUGAUGCAGCAACGCCGCGUGCGGGAAGACAGCCCUAGGGUUGUAAACCGCUUUCAGCAGGGAAGAAACUGACGGUACCUGCAGAAGAAGAUGCGGCCAACUACGUGCCAGCAGCCGCGGUGACACGUAGGCAUCAAGCGUUAUCCGGAUUUAUUGGGCGUAAAGAGCUCGUAGGCGGUUCGGUAAGUCGGGUGUGAAAACUCUGGGCUCAACCCAGAGAGGCCACUCGAUACUGCUGUGACUAGAGUGCGGUAGGGGAGCGGGGAAUUCCUGGUGUAGCGGUGAAAUGCGCAGAUAUCAGGAGGAACACCAGUGGCGAAGGCGCCGCUCUGGGCCGUAACUGACGCUGAGGAGCGAAAGCAUGGGUAGCAAACAGGAUUAGAUACCCUGGUAGUCCAUGCCGUAAACGUUGGGCACUAGGUGUGGGUCUC